UAUCAUAUUGGGAGUAGGUCAGAAGAUUCCUCAAAACCAACAUUACAACUUUAACAAACCAUCAACUACCACCUUUCACACCAACAGGGAAAAAAGAAAUCAAAAUGAUUUGAAACUUCACAGAGCAAUUAAGAAAGGAAAUCUGAGUCACCGUUACAGAAAGUAUUAAGAAAUGUUUACGUGGACGGUCUUCAAAGAGAAAUUGUAAGCUAAAGCCGCACCUAUUCUCUGACCCAAGGUAAUUGAAAAUUUACAUCUCGG